GGCACUGCGGUUGCCAAUCUAGUGUCCAACCAGAAGGAUGGGGAUAAAGCGAAGGGAGGGCAGAGGUUUGAGGCCUGGGAGGGCAGAAGAGGGUGCAUGAGUUGCUUCAUGCUGCCGGCUUACAGGCAUUGGCACUGCAGCUGCCAUCCUUGUGCCCGCGGAGAUGGGAGGAAGCGAAUGGGGAGGGGGCAGCGGCAGGAGUCCUGGUGCUCUGAGAGGGAGACUUGGUACCUGGGAGCCAUUGGCAUCGUACCCAUCAGGCUGGUGCCCUGAGCUGGGGCAGUGGGAACAGGGGUCCCAGGAGGCAGAGAGGAGGGGCAGAGGCAUGUUAAUGACGUGUCUGUCCCUCUGGAGCUCAGCUCUAAGGAACGGUUGGACUAUGAGGUAGUUAGUCCUUUUCUAGUCUGGGAAAGUAAAGUGAUGGAAAGAGUAGCCAGGGAAGUGCCAAGAAAGUGUCUAAGAGCCAGGAGGAGGGAUUGUGCCACUGCUUCCUGGGGGAGCGCCUCAGGGCUGGCAGUCUGGCCCUUUGUGAAAAGCACAGGGAUGUGGGCGUGAGGCAAUGGGUGCUGGCACUGUCCAAGGAGCGUGGCACAGGCUCUGGCAUUGUGUGGAAUGCAGGAGGGUAACAGUGCCUCUUGCCAGUCUGGUUGAGAAGGUUGCUGUGCCAGGAAUAAGAAAGGAGGUGAGAUGUUGGGUGUGUGUGUGUGUGUGAGUUGUUUGGGAGAACAGACGUUUUUCUGCCAGGACCUCCUUCCUGUACCCUCAUAGGCAUGGGGAGUGGAGCAACAGACGGAGAGAGGCUUGAGGACACAAAGGAGGAAGCGCGCCAUUGCCAAGACCCCAAGGAAGAAGGACGGAGAGCGCUGGCAGUCCUGUCUGGCCCCCAGCCAGUUUCCUGCUGAAGAUGGCCAAAUCCUCUUGCCUGGUCUGUGCUGCUCAUCUGGGUCCUGUAGCGCCGCUGCCCCAUUCCAUCUGGAACUCCGACCCCACUUCCUGUUCCUCCACUGCUUCCUCCAGCCCCAGGGGACUCUGGUUCAGCCAGACUGGAAGCAGAUGAAUCGCUGAGAUCCCCUGCAGAUGGACUGCAGGCCUCGCUCUCUGGUGAAGCUUUAGGUGGCUCCUCUGCACCCUCUUCCUCACUGGGUGGGGGUGGAGGUGGGAGAGGUAGAGGUGGCUCUGGUGUUGGGGUGGUGGCCUCUUUCCCAGGUGGUAGAAAAGGCAGGGGCCCGGCAGCAGGAGUAACUGGGGGGUAGGGAAAAGCAGCUGCUUCCCGCUUUGGGGCUUCCCUCCCAGUCCCAUCAUCUACCUUGCCCAACAAGAGGUUGAACUUGGGGAAGGUGGCAGGGGCAGGAAUGACAGGGGGCUUCACUGCUGGAUUAGGCACCCCACCUGGCGUGUUUCGAAACUGGCCUUUCCUCUCCCGGGCCCUGGUGUUCUGGAACCAGACCUGCACCACUCGCUUUUUGAGUCCCACCUCCUCAGAGAUGCAGUCGAGCAUCUUGCGUGUCGGGUUGGAAUCUUGCAUGUACCAGCGGUACAGGAUCUCCAGCUGCUCGGGCAGGAUGGUGGUACGUAGGCGCUUGUCCCUAGGGGGCUCACCCUCCCCUCCACCCCCUGCUUCACUGCCCGUUGGGGACAGGCUGCCCUCCUCAUGCUUCCGUUUUAGCGGUGGCCCUGGGGCUGGUGGAGCACCUGCCACCAGGGGGCUUCGUUCUCCAAACACCAGCAAGGGCAGAUCAAGGAGGUGGGGGGCAGCGCUGGGCUGCACAGAAGGCAGGAGGUGUAGCCGCUGGUGACUGGUCAGGAGGUCUUGGCUGGGGAAAGACAUGGUGCACUGGUCACAAGUAUGGGCUGCGGAAGGUGAAGGAGGGGCCCUCCCUGCAGGCUCUUUGCCUCCUGGGUUUGUUGCCUCUGCUUGGCUCAGCUCUUCCCCGUCUGUGGGUUCAGGUGAGGGGCCCUUGGGCCCUGUGGGAGGUUCCAGGCUCUGUUCCUCCUCUGCGUCCUCCUCCUCUACCUCUUCCUCUUCUUCCCCUCUCUCUGCCUCUUCCUCCUCCUCUUCAGGGGGCUGGUCAUCAUAGCAUUUCUUGAGGUGCCGCACCAACUCAAAAACACAAGAGAAGGUGGCGUGGCAGCGCCUGCAACCAGAGGCUCCCCCGCUGCCACCUCCAGUCGGCACAGGGCCACCUUCAAUGGCAUUUUUGCGUGCUUUCUGGCGGGCAUUCUGGAACCACACUACCACCACACGGGUAGCCAGACCCAGGAGACUUGCAAGCCGCUCCACUUCUCCAUCCUUGGGGGUGGAGCUCUGGUUGUAGGAGACUCGGCAGACCGUGCACUUAAAGGGCUUGUCUGUGGCGGCAGCACUGGGAGGCGCAGCACCUGCCUCUCCUCGGGCAGGACCGGACGGGUCAAUGGCAGCCUUCUUCAUCUUGUGCAGGUGCAGGCUCUGGCCCAGGAGCAGGGGGCUCCGGAGCGUCCCCCAGUGGGCAUACAGUGGGCCCAAGCAGCACUUUGGUCGUAAAGGUCAUCUCUACAGUUGUUGCCUGUAAUGGAAUAAAGCCCAGUGACUCCCCUGCUCUGACCUGUCCCACUACUCCUCACGCCCUGCUCUUCACCUGUGCUUAUGCCCAGCCCCUGUACAGGGCACCAGUCUCCUCCUGGACACACUCCCCUAACUUUGGCUUUUCCCCAGAGGAGAGGGCCUGGGCCACUGCCUCUCCUGCACCAAAGUCCAUGCCGCCCUUUGAACAGCUCUUGUCAUGACCUAAUGGAAAUGAAGGAAAUGCUUAGCUCCCUCACCAGUGAGCAGAGGCAGCCAGAUGAGCUCUGCUGUUUCCUCCCAAUUCUUGCCUGGACAGCCUUGCCUCUUCCCCUCCUGGCCCAAACAGGGCCUUCCUGGACGGCUCUGCACCCAGCCGGUACUCACCACAAGCAGCAGCUUCUCAACGCACUCGGGCACCACGUUGUGAAGGUGGCUAAGGUGGAAGUGCAAGGCAGACCGGCCCACCAGCUGCUCCUGGCACAGAGGACACCUGUACUUGGGCUGCACUGCAUGCUGGGAGAGUGCAUGAGCCCUCACCUGGUCAGGCGCCGGGCUCAGGAAGCUGCAGUAUGGACAGCAGAAUACCUGGGGGCAUAUGGGUGGUGGACGAGGUGUCAGGGAAGGGUGGGAUCCACCAUCACCCAGCCCUUUGUGUUCUUGGACACACUCCCGAUUUAGGAGGAGUGAGCCCCAUUUGGAGGCAUCAAGGCAUCACCACGGAUCCAGCAAGAAGCUGGCUCCUCCCUUAUUUCCCUUCCACUGGGACAAAGGCCCAGGCUAGACUUUCUCCUUGCCUUCCUUCUUUGUCCGGCCCUCUCCCUCCAUCCUGGCCUGGCUUUCCUUGAUCUUUCCCUGUCUCUGCUGCCUUGCUUAGUAUUUCAGCUAACAGUAUGACCCUGAACCUACCUUCUCCGGAUUUAGGUUUCUUUUCUUACUCACUCACACCCUGCUGUGUCUUCUCUGUGAGAUGGCUCCCCUACCCUCUGGCACAUCUAGACCCAGAGGCUCCUUCAUCCCUGCCCACUCUGUCUCUCCAAGGUCCCUAGCCAGAGUGUCUCUGAAGAGGCGCCCUCCCUACCUGUCUGCUCAGAAGCAGACUCAUUCUCCCAGAGGCUUAGCAGCUCCCACUUUCUUUUCCUUCUCCCCUUCUUAAUGUAAACAAACACCACAGCUCCCCCAGCGGCCCAGGAAAAUUCUGCCCUGGCUGUGCUGGCACAUACCGGCCCACAUCUCCAGAGGGGUGGGGCUGAGUGAAGGCCCAGUCUCUGCCUUAGUCACCUGACUGCCCGACCUGGCGACCUGGCUCCCUUCCUCUCUGGCCUCCCUGUGCCACUGGUCCAGGCUCACAUACUGGGAAAGGAAGGCCAUAAAGGAAAAGCAUCCAGAUGGUCAUUUUAAUGCACUCAGCCCUAGGAACAGUCAUCUGGAAUCAGUCUGAGGAGGGAACAGGAGUGAAAAGGGCCUGGCCAGCACUGUCGGAAUGUAAUAAUCCUGCCUAUUGAGGUCCCAUUUGGAGAUCUGUGAGGAAAGGGCAGCAUGGAGCCUCAGGACCCAGGCUGGGAGUCCCCUCAGAAUCCAUACUUUCAGGCCACAGAGCUAAACCACCCAGGUCCUGCCUAGGCCAGGCAGAGGCCUAAAGCUGGAAGACUUUGAGAGCCGCAGGGUUUGCUAUCUGGGUCAGCUGGGCUGGGGCUUCUGCCCUCAGGAGAAAAUGCCUGUAUGGUUCCGUGCAGGCUUGGGGCCUUCUGCAGGAGAGGACCAUCUGUGUCUAGUUGUCUUUCUGCUCCUGACAAGAAUAGAGAGCUGGGCAGCAGCUGCCUUUUGGUUUGGGCUUGCACUUUUUUCUUUCUUCCUCCCCUCCUUCAUCCACCUACUUCUAGCUUUUCCUACCUCAGUACAGCUUCUGUCUUCACUUUUCCCUCAAGUCCUGCCCUCCCUUGUCUUCUCUCUAAGCUCCACCCCUAGGGUCAGCUCUGCUCCGUGUAUGGUGCUGAACAUAUAGCUGGCCCUAGGUGGCAUCUCUUACUGUUGUGUUCUGAGAUGUCACAAGCAUGACAAAACUAGGUCUGCCUUUAGUCUGAAAUCUGGCUAUAGAGCUCUACUGGUAAGAAUUUCCGGCUUUAGAAUAUGAAUAGAUCUCAGUAAAACCAGCCCCCACCCCCACGUCCCCCAGCUCUUCCCAGUUAUCCCAAUUCUGACCGUGGUCUGGUUGGCGCUGUCUCCUAGAGAGCCAGUCUUGUUCUCGGCCUCUUCAGAAGCUGAAAGGAGAUUAAAAAACUGUGACAGCCCUCCCUCUUCCUUCCCAGACCCCCAGCCCUUAAGAUGAGCUGACUUGUAGCAGAGAGCCUCCAGGGUUGGGGGUUGGGUUCAGGGGAAAGGGCAAGAAGGUACAAAGCUGUACACAGUCUAGGGAGCAGAGGCCCAGCAGGGCUGAUCCCAGGUUAGCGAGAUGGCCAGAUUUAAGCCUUUUGUGGCUCCCCCUCCUUUCCCUCUGAUGAGCCCUUUCUUGUAUCAGUUUGGCUCCAUGCACCUAGGAGGCCUUGCUGGGCAGCUGGAUUCCUGCAGAAUCCCAUGUACAUCUCAGAAGUUAGGGGGCAGGGGCAGGAAGCAAGGAUGGAGAGAAAAUGGACCAGAUGAGCGACUCACCCAAUUGCUCUGUCUUGUUCUGAGCAUCUUUUUCAGGGGUGGGCAGCUCAGCUAAGGGAGUGACAGGAGCCUUCCCUGUGUGGGAUGAGGGGAGAGCCAACUUAAAAGAGUGAAUCAUCAGGAAAGGGAGGACACAGGGCAGAGGAAGCAGAAGGAGAAAAUGGAUAGAUGAGUCAAAAAGCUGCGGAAAAGAAACAUGAAAUGACAGCAUUGGAGCUGAGAGAGCCUAAGAGAUUAAGUACCCAGCCCCCAUCAUUUAAAGAUGAGGAAACAAGUCUGGCCAUAGGCGGCAGAGACAGGGCUGACUGGGCUCCCUGCCUGCUGGUCCUGGAAACAAGGAGACCAAGAACAUAAGGGGAGGGGCACUGGAGAAGGAAAGGGAAGUUGAAUGGAAGCAGGUGCGGCAAGCAGGUCUGGCUGGGAGAGGAGAUUACCACUCAAGUAAGAAUUGACAGAUGUGUAGGAAUUUAUUUUCGGUGGCAGCCUAAUUAAAGUGUUAAAGUUCCUUAACUCCAUUCAGCCCUGCGCCAGGAUCAUUAGCUAUUGAUCUGGGCCCCUCCGGCACUUAACUCCAGCCAGCAUAUUGGCAAUUCAAUUAGCACCAGUCAAUGCUGCCUGUUCCUGGUUCCUGCUGCCCAUACCCUCACCCUUGCCCACUGCCAGUCCUUACAAAGCCCAGAUACCCAUGCCCACCUCUGACAGCCCCUUCCAGGCUUCUCUCCUGCACCCUCUGGAUCAAUGGUGCCUGGCAGGCUGUUCCUGGUGUCUGCUAGUACAACCUCAGCUGCCUAAGGGGGGACCCUAAGCCCAGCCUUCGGGCUGAAGACCUCCUAGGAGACAGGAAGAGGCUGGGGAACUCAAAGGCUUCCUAUCCCUGCAGCCUUUGGGCCAGGCCCACGGUUCCCAUCUUCUGACGUGCCCUGACCCAGCACAAAGUGAAUUCCAUUCUUCUGUUUUUCUGCUUCCUCUCUCCUUCCUGGCCAGCUCCUGCCACCCCACCCCACCCAGUGUUGCUGGGAUGCUGGUGAGGAUUUGAAAUGACAAUUCCUCAUCUACCUUCCUGUUCUCUGCUCGCCACCCAGCAAAGCCCUUGCCUUUCACUGCCUCCAUCCUCCCACGGCCUCUUGCUCCUUGCUUCACUGGGCAGCCUCACUCUUCCCCAAGUCUGGUUUUAUCACUCCUUCCCACUUGCUCUCGACUGCCACAGACCUGUUUCUCCUCACUGGUAUCCUCCCACCUGUUGCCCACCCUGCCCAGUCCCCUCUUCCUCACCGGGAGUCCGGAGCUGCCCAUGGCUGAAGCUCAGGAUGCUCUGAAUAGCCGAGAGCCCUUCCUCGGCCGUGGGGCCACUCUGCAGCAACUGCAGACGCCGCUGGGCCUGGGCGUCACGGUGGGCCGGUGCGCGCAGGUGCUGCAGCACAGCCAGGCGGGAGGGCGUCUCCCACGCACACAGCAGGCAGCGGAACAGCCCCAGCUCAGCCCCUGCUGGGGGUCCCUCCAUCUCCAGCAGAAACUGGAAGCACGGAAAGAGACUGCUCAGGCCCAGAAGGCACAGAUGCCUGUAGAUCUCAGGGGCCCCUUUCACCUCCCCCAAAGGAGCCUGCCUAGGCAGCAGCACCCCCUCGUUCCCCAUCCCUUCCAUCCUCUUGAGCCCCUUCUUUUCCCUUCUAUGGCCACCUGAAUAUUACUUCUUUUUCUCCCCUGUCUCCUCUCCUUUACCAAUACUAGGCUCCCUCCGAGUAGGUGAAUGGAAUCUGGUUCCAUCCUCUUGAACUGAUGACAAGAUGGCCUGAGCAGAUACUCCCCUUUAGUCCCAAACACCAGAAAAUCUGAAUAAAGUAUUGGAUUCAUUUUGUCAGA